GUGCAAAAUCUUGCAUCCUGGCGACCCCAGUGAGGAUGUUAGAUGUGGGGGUGGAUGAGGGAAGGUGAUAUUCUGUGGUCCCAAGAGAAAUGUGGCAGAACAGAGAGGCUACCUUUCAAGACUAAUGCCUCCCCGCCCCGUCUGCUCCGUCCAGAAGACUGGCCCUUUUCUUGCCAGAAGCAGGUGCUAUGAUGGACUGCACAGGGUCGGCAUUUCCUAGAGGCUUCGUCUGGGAUCUCCACCAAGCAGGGGCACCGUCCUGUGAGGCUAAACUGAGCAGCAGCUGGCCUCACGUCUCAGCUCCUGACUGUGGCUUUGUUUACAAGGCUACCUAUUUUGACUUCUGACAGGUGUUACCGAUUGUCCCCAACCUCCACCCCUCUCCCCUUCACAGAAGGUCAUUUGGUCAGAGACAGUGCUGGAAGGUUCAUGUGUAGCCAUGUUGUGAUCAGUAAGAAAUGCUUUGUAGGUCACCCACUUUUUUUUUUUUUCCUGCCCAGAGUUUCCGUCUGUCUGUCCUGGUGCCUGCAUCUUUCAAAGCUAAAAUCCAGAUGUUUGACUCACUGUUUUGAAAUCAGGAUGGCACUAGGAAAAGCCAGGUCCUAUGACUAAUUCUCCUGAUUCCGAGUCUUCGAAGGUUUGUCCUGGACACUGUGCAGAGAAUUUUGAACCCGACCAUGGAUGCACAGUCCAGUGCACUGCUGAUACAAGCCGGAGCACUGCUGAGGGAGAGGCCCCAGACCACCAGGGAAGGGAAGCUUGCUUGGUUUCCUUGACCCCUACAGGGUUAGUGGACUUGCUCUGGAACUCUUUAGCCCAGUCCAAUCAUAAUGUCGUUCCCCUCCCCCCCCACCUCCCCCAUCUCACACAGCUUUAAAACUUCACUACUUUUAUUUAGAAACAAACAGGAUGGCAGAGAAGACACCUCCCCCCACAUUACUGGGGGUGGGCAGGAAACGUAGGUCAGGCGUGAGGGUGGGGUUUUCUUUCCACCGUUUCCCUAGAGUACUUACUGCAGAUCAGCUGCCUGUGCUCAUUCCGAAUGCUUGUGGGCCGGGUUGCCGGUCUCAGGGCCGAGAGCCUAGACUUAGGAGAAUUCCUCCCCCAGGAGUAGCUACAUCUUUUGUGACUCAGACACUGCCUGGUCAUCCGCUCCAGUGGCAUACCUGACUCACAAUGUCUACCCUAGUACGUGGGUGAAAGGAUCUUUCUCUUGCCCCAUUGCACACUGGAGAGGCCCCGGGUGUCCAGUGUGGGGACCCCAUGGACAGUACCACAAGGCUCCCUGCUGAGCCACUAUGCAUUGUGGGGUCAGAGCUCCUGUCCUUCCUUGGUGACUGGAAAUCCCUGCUGUGGUUUUGUUGGACAGCCCCAGGUGACUGCUUCCCACCCGAAGCCAGAAGCCAUCAGUGGAACUUCUGUGGGAUCCUUUGCCAAAAUCCCAAGGCAAAAUCCAAGGGUCCAAGGCCAUUUCCAUCCAGUUCCCAGUUUCCUUUUCCAUAGGAACUUUUUUUUUUUUUUUAAACCUAGCUCCCAACAUGCUUCCAAAGGCCAUGUUCCGUCUUUCCUGGAUCACUACAGUGAAGUAUUACAGUUGUACAGUUCCCAAUCUGGCCUUGGCUUGCUCGGAUAAAACUUUGUUAUGUAUUUUGUAAGGCAUAGAUUCUAUAUUGUAAUGUCCUAUGCAAAAGAAAAAAAUUAAUGAAAUUGUAAAUUUUAUUGUUUUAACAUGUAUGCAUGUUUAGUGACGUUUACAUUUUGAAAUAAAAU
ensembl:lncRNA